GUGAGGUGAGAUUGUGCAGUGCUUUUUUUUGCAUCUCUGGAAAAUUACGUGACUGGUGACUUCCUUACUGAGUGCUAACAGUGUGAGGAAGGCUUGGUGUUGGCGUGGUGAGGGUGUGGUGGAAAUAUUGACCUGUACUUUAUCGUGUGUAACUUGAGCUUUUGUUUGAGUACUGAAGGCGUAGUGAGAGGCUGAAAGUGUGAGGAAGGCUUGGUGAGGGCAUGGUGAUGACGUGGUAAGCUAAUGGUGAAUAUAUUGACUUCUACUUUAUUAACUGUGUCCCUUAAGUCUUUGUGAGACUGCUGAAAGGCGUAGUGAAAGGCUGAAAGUGUGAGGAAGGUUUGGUGAAGACGUGGUGUUGACUUGGUGAGCUAAUAAUGUACAUAUUGGCCUGUACUUUCUUUUAUUAACUGUGUUACUUGAAGUCUCUGUGAAUUUGUGAGAGUACUGAAGCUUUUGAAGACGCAGUGAAAGUCUGAGAGUGUGAGGAAGGUGUCUGCGUGGUAGAUGUGGUGAUGUGUGGGACGUGGUGGUGGUGGGGGCGUGGCGGUGACAGGUGUGCAAGAGAUAGCAGUCAACAGGGCAGGACGCGGGUGAGAAGGCAUAGCUGACGCACGCACGGACGCCUCCAUGGAACCUGUCUAAAAAGUGAGUCACAUCACUUGCAGGUGGAAGGAAAUCCUGAUUUCUAAGAAGUGGCUGCCCUCACUUGCCGGCUGCACCUGCGAACCCCCUCCAGGUAACAAUUAUCAAGGUAAGGAGGGAAGGGUGGAGGGAGCGAGGAGGUGGAACAGAGGGGUAUGAACAAGGAAGUGGAGAAAGGAUGGAUGAAGACAGUAAGUAAAGAGUUGGAAAAUGAGAGAAACCGUAAACUAGAAAGAGGAGGAAGAUCUGAUGGAUAAGAAAGUUAUUUGAAUUUUAUAAGUAGGAGAU